rnacentral:tRNA from 1 species
GCGUCUGUGGUGCAACUGGUUAGCGUGUUCAGCUGUUAACCGAAAGGUUGAUGGUUCAAGCCCACCCGAAGGCG